rnacentral:rRNA from 1 species
GGGGAAUAUUGGACAAUGGGCGAAAGCCUGAUCCAGCCAUGCCGCGUGUGUGAAGAAGGUCUUCGGAUUGUAAAGCACUUUAAGUUGGGAGGAAGGGUUUCUGGCUAAUAUCCAGGAAUUUUGACGUUACCGACAGAAUAAGCACCGGCUAACUUCGUGCCAGCAGCCGCGGUAAUACGAAGGGUGCAAGCGUUAAUCGGAAUUACUGGGCGUAAAGCGCGCGUAGGUGGUUCGUUAAGUUGGAUGUGAAAGCCCCGGGCUCAACCUGGGAACUGCAUCCAAAACUGGCGAGCUAGAGUAUGGCAGAGGAUGGUAGAAUUCCAGGUGUAGCGGUGAAAUGCGUAGAGAUCUGGAGGAAUACCGAUGGCGAAGGCAGACAUCUGGCCUAAUACUGACGCUGAGGUACGAAAGCAUGGGGAGCAAACA